UACGAAGGGGGCAAGCGUUGUCCGGAAUUAUUGGGCGUAAAGAGCGUGUAGGCGGUCCGGUAAGUCGGCUGUGAAAGUCCAGGGCUCAACCCUCGAAUGCCGGUGGAAACUGUCGGGCUGGAGUCCGGAAGAGGCGAGUGGAAUUCCUGGUGUAGCGGUGAAAUGCGCAGAUAUCAGGAGGAACACCAAUGGCGAAGGCAGCUCGCUGGGACGGUACUGACGCUGAGACGCGAAAGCGUGGGGAGCAAACAGG
rnacentral:rRNA from 1 species